UUUUAUAGCUGAUUAAAAGAAUGAGGCAUGUGUGUUACAGACAUGAAAAUCAGUAAGCUUGAAAAAUAGUUUUACAAAGUGUAUGAAAUUGGCAUUUUUUGAGGAAUAUUAAAAAAAGUUUCUCCGAAAAGUAACAUUUUUCUUGGUUGCCAUUUACCUCUUAAAAGUAUAAAAAAUAACAACUUAGGACCUGGAGUUAACAGAUUUUAAACAACAGAAGUCUUUGAUUCGUAGGAAAAUUAAUGUGUAAUGUAACAGGAAAAUAUAGGGAAGCCAGAAUCUGAUGAAUAAGUUGGAUGAUAAACACUCUUGGUUUUUGCACAAAAGUAAAUAGUAGGAUUGCUUAAAUUAACCCAGAAGUGUAAAGUAGGUAAGUAAAGGUAACUUUUCCUUUUUCCUCAGGAGCAUGUGAUGAUAAUGGUGGUAGUCGUGACGAGGGUGAUUAGUUUCAGAAAUCACCAUAAAUGUACUUAGGUUUGAAGGCUUAAUUUCCUAGUUUCUAGAAGUGAGUUAGAAACAGGAAGAGUAC
rnacentral:lncRNA from 1 species